AAAAAUUAAUUUGUGUGUCUCUGAAAAAAAAUUCAACUGUAAAUUGCAUUUUAUUAUAAAACUUGGCAGCUUUAAAUAUCAAGCUUUUAUACAGAAAUCAAGCAUUUUCUGAACCUUGAAAACACCGAAUUAAAAUUCAAGUAUUUGCAAUGAUUUACAACAGAUUCCUUUACCUUUUCCAAAAACUCAAAAAUAUCGAUGAAUCCAAAAGUAAACGAACAAAAACAUGACAUUAAAUAAUAUCUGCUUGUCAUUGAGUGCAAUGAGAAUUUGAUUUCAGACCAACAAGCAGGAAUUCUGACUCCAAUAAUCAGUUUUUGUACCCAUGUGGCACAAAGAACAAGCAAUCAAUCAGCCGGUUGCAAAUACCUCUGACCUCAGCUGAUUCUGCAGACUUUAAAGCCCUUCUGUACGCAGAGUACUUUCUUCUUUUUAGUCAAAACCAAAAAGCUGUCAGUCACGUCAAGGACAAGGUAGUACAUCUGGACAAGACUGGACUGACUCUCUCUGGAGCUGAACGCAAGAUCAUUCCUCACUGGAUGACCAUGAGAAAAUUACAGAUCUGUCCAAAAAUAUUUGCUAAUAAAACCAACUUCACCAAGAAAACGAUUGGAAACACACUGAUGCUGACCCUUUGCAAAUACGUCACUUCCUCAUUCGAGGCGCCAUAAUGGAUGUCGGGAGUGAGGGACGGGAGUAUCGAACAGAGCGACUGAAAUUGUUUUCCAAAACAGUCUUUGCCAGUUUAUUCAUGGCUACUACUUGUUGGAGUCGAGCUAAUUUGUCUGUAAACUUAACACACCUGGUUGGGGCUCAUAGAGGGAGGUAUUUACAAAAGUUGGACAUAGCUAGCUUAGAAACCAACCCGUACCUUCUCCCUCCUGAUGUGUUGAUCAAAUUCAUACCACAUGAUUUAUGUCAUUGUGUCAUAAACAGCGCUUCCCUUUACACCAGAGCAGCCUUAAAACGUAUGAAAGACGAAAUGCUAACCAGUUCUUUCAUACAUUAAUUUUUUUUUUAGUUCUUUCAUACAUGCUAGGCUACAUGACGGUGCGGUAUUGUUUCCGGGGUUACUGAGACGCCAUAAUGCGUACCUUCGCCAUAAUGCGAUAUUUGAUAUCUGCCAUUAUAAAUACUUAGAAAAUAAAUGAACGUUAAUCCUCUUACCUUGAAAAAAGUGUUUGUUGGAAAUCCGCGGUUACAGCGAGGGCUGACAGUCAUUUUGAUUAACGGCUGCUAUAAAUCGCCGCGUAUCUUUCCUCAUUAAAAGAUACAAAAUAAAAUGACAAGUUUGGUUUCUACCUUUGUCUGUUUGUGCAGCCGACCGCGCAGCACCCUGUGAACCUUUUUACUGCCAAAUCAACUAAAUAAAACAAGACAUCAGGUUACCAGAUGUGCGGGGUUUUUUUGACGGGCUUUACAGGAGCAUAUUGGUAGCUUUGACGUCCAACAUGGCGGAGCGGGCCGAGUUCCGAAGAGAGUGACGUCACGUGCAAAGGGUCAAUGAUUGACCAAGUUGAUGUAAUUACUUUAGGACGGUUUUCCAGUAAAACAUCGUUAUUAACUGGUUAGAAAAAAAUCCUUAUAUUUACAUAUUUUGAACCAAGUGAAGCUAAAACUACACUACUUGAGGAGUUCUGGGUAGAACAUAUUUACAUAUAAACAGGGGGUUUUUUAUCUGAAAUGCAAAAUGAACAUAGAUUUUUGUUAAAUUUUGGCUAAAUUGCAGCUUUGAGGAUGUUGUUGGACUUUUUUGAGUCUCCAAUUAACGAUUAAUCGAUUACUAAAUAAGUUGGUAGUUCUUUCAAUUAAUCGAUUAAUCAAUGUGAAAUUAUGGCUCUAAUCCUUAAGCGGUAGAAUAAACGUUUGAAACACUCUAAAACAUUUGAGCCGCAUUUAGUUGUGUCUAAUAACUGAGUUCUAGAUUUUGAACCUAAAUAUGUGAGUUUGUGAAAGAUAAACUUACAGCAGUAAGUUGUCUUAACUUUUAUUAAUUUUGUCAAAACUCCAAAAGUUGAAUAAUCUAGAGCACAUUUUUUAGGUUAGCACUUAAAAAAAACUGAAAGACGAAAAAAAGUGGGAACUAUUUCCCAGAAUGCUUAGCGGCAUGUUUUUAUAUCCUGAGACGGAAGUGUGUUACAUUGAUCUGACUGGUGUUUUAUUAAGGAACAUUUUUAUUUAAUGCAAAGCUUGAGGAUAAAGUCUUGUUCACACUAAAUGAUUUUGAGCAGAAUUUAAUAAAAUUCAUUAUCAGAUCAGAAAUUUUGUUCAUGCAAUUUGAAACAAGAAAUUAAAACAUUCUAAAGUAAAA